GAUGAACGCUGGCGGCGUGCUUAACACAUGCAAGUCGAACGGAAAGGCUCCUGCUUGCAGGGGUACUCGAGUGGCGAACGGGUGAGUAACACGUGGGUGAUCUGCCCUGCACUUCGGGAUAAGCCUGGGAAACUGGGUCUAAUACCGGAUAGGACCACAUUUUGGAUGGUGUGGUGGAAAGUUUUUCGGUGUGGGAUGAGCUCGCGGCCUAUCAGCUUGUUGGUGGGGUAAUGGCCUACCAAGGCGUCGACGGGUAGCCGGCCUGAGAGGGUGUACGGCCACAUUGGGACUGAGAUACGGCCCAGACUCCUACGGGAGGCAGCAGUGGGGAAUAUUGCACAAUGGGCGCAAGCCUGAUGCAGCGACGCCGCGUGGGGGAUGACGGCCUUCGGGUUGUAAACUCCUUUCGCUAGGGACGAAGCGCAAGUGACGGUACCUGGAGAAGAGGCACCGGCUAACUACGUG
rnacentral:rRNA from 1 species